UUGCUACUUCCUCCGUCCGAAAAUACUUGUCCUCGAAAUGGUUGUAUCUAGACUUGUUUUAGUUAUAGAUACAUUCAUUUUAUCCAUUUUGAGGACAAGUAUUUCCGGACAGAGGGAGUACCUG
rnacentral:pre_miRNA from 1 species